AGAUCCUGUUGAAGCAGAGAAAGCUAGACCCGGACGUUGGCUGAAUGCAGUGAGCGGACCACAUGCUCCUCUUCCUCACCCUGGCACUUCCUAGGUCGUCCGCUUGUUCCAGAGUGCUCAGUGGAAGUGCAUGAUAUGAAAACUGAAGAAAAAUCAGAUAUGUUUCUUUGAACAUGCUCAGCAUAUGGUUUUCUGAAAUACUUUUCAAUAUUUGGUCUUGCACAUGAAAUUUGACUGUUGAUAUGCUUUUCUAGAGUAGAUUGCCAAUACUUGUUCUAAAGACAAUAUUUUGCCAACCCUUUAGUUGUAACUAUAUACUAUUGGUUAUCAUAUUUUUUGGUGCUGGUAUGGAGUUAUGGACUGAAUGUUCUAAUAGUAGUAUUGAUUUAUGGUAUGAUAAUAUACAAUCUGGUGGUUCAAAAAUACAAUAUUUUAUUAAAUCAGUAUCUGGUAGCCUCUCAAAUAAAAUAUUUGCUAGCUUAACAUUUUUUUUGGUUCAGCAUCUGUUAGCAUUCAGCAUGAUAUAUGUAUUUUGUUUUUUGUUUUUGUUUUUUAGCUCAGAAUUCAGCAUUCUAUAGCCUCUUGAGUUUAUUUGGUCCCUGCAAUGCAUUCAAUAUUUAGCAUUCAUCUUAUGAGUUUUUUUUUCAAGUUACUUGCAGAGCACUUGGUGGAAGAAAUACAUAGAAGCUAAUUUUUUUUUGUGAUAGGAAUGGUGCAAGUGCGGUUUAUGGUUGAUUAUCGUGUUGCUGUGAAUUAAACAUCGCAAGUAGCUCGCAUGUUGCUUCUGCUUUUAUUCAUCCAUGUUAUUUUUCUUUGGUUUUCUUAGAAGAAACUAUUACCUAGCUAGUAAUUUAUCUCCAUGGUCUGUUAUUUAUUAUUUGGUCAAAGUAGUUUGUAAUAUAGGAUUUGCAUGGUGUGAAUCAUUUUGGCCAUGUCUCAUCGUGACUAUGUUGCUACUAGUCGAGAUGGAUUAAGCUUAUAUGGAAUAGCAUAUGCGUUUUACUCAA